rnacentral:rRNA from 1 species
AAUGAACGCUGGCGGCAGGCCUAACACAUGCAAGUCGAACGGAUCCUUCGGGAUUAGUGGCGGACGGGUGAGUAACGCGUGGGAACAUACCCAAAGGUACGGAAUAGCCUCGGGAAACGGGGAGUAAUACCGUAUGUGCUCGAAAGAGGAAAGAUUUAUCGCCUUUGGAUUGGCCCGCGUUGGAUUAGGUAGUUGGUGGGGUAAUGGCCUACCAAGCCGACGAUCCAUAGCUGGUUUGAGAGGGUGAUCAGCCACACUGGGACUGAGACACGGCCCAGACUCCUACGGGAGGCAGCAGUGGGGAAUCUUAGACAAUGGGGGAAACCCUGAUCUAGCCAUGCCGCGUGAUCGAUGAAGGCCUUAGGGUUGUAAAGAUCUUUCAGGUGGGAAGAUAAUGACUGUACCACCAGAAGAAGCCCCGGCUAACUCCGUGCCAGCCGCCGCAGUAA